UUAUUAUUUUAAUGAUUUGUGACGGAAAUGUGACUGUUAGAUGACGCAAUACAAUUUAUUUAGUAAAAAGAUUGUGAGGGAUUUGUGACAGGAUGUUGUGUGACAAGUAUGUUGUGACGGCGUUUGUGUGACCGAUAUGCGUGACGGACAUUGGUGACCGAUAUUGUGUGACAUUUGUGAUCGAUAUUAGGUGACGGACAUUGGUGACGGACAUUUGUGAUCGAUAUUAUGUAACGGACAUUGGUGACGGAUAUGUGUCACGCCAUGUGUGACAGAUUGUGUGACGGGAAUUGGUGACGGUAUUGGGUGACGGACACUGAUAACUGGUAUUGGUGACAGACACUUGUAACAUGUAGUUUGCGACGGAACAUUGGUGACGGUUUUAUGACAGUAGGUGUGACGGAUAAAUAAUAAUGUGGCCUCUUAAUAUGCGACAGAUUACUAACAACUAAAAAACAUUUGUGACACAUUCUGUCACAAAUUUUAUAGACCCUGGACAUGGUAAUUGUGACGGAAAUGUAUUUUGUCGUGACAAACGGUUCCGUGACAAAAUAUGUGACAGACGAUUAUAUCUGUCACAGUUUUAAGUAGUGACGAGGGGUUUUCCCACGGACGUUUUCCAUCACACAUGCGUCACAAAAAGGUAUUCAUGACGGAAUUUCUUCAAUUUAGUGACGCAAUCGUCCGUCACAAAUAAAUCUUUUUUUAUUUAUCUUUAAAUAAAUCUAACGCAUUAGCUCUUUAUGUAGGGGUCAGAUCUCGAUUUGGUACGAUAAAGACGAAACUGUGUAUGAGUUUGUUGAGAUGGCUGACAUAAUCACAUUGUUGAAGGAGGGAUCAACCAGUACACAAGUGAGCACCCACUUACAAAAAAACAAAAAUACUGUCAAACACAGACACUUUACCUAAAGAACUGCCAAAACUAGUAAAUUACACAAAUGAUUGUCUAGACUAACUCUAUUUUUCUUGUUGCAUAUAGGCACUUGAUUCAUACUCGUCCAUUCUGCAAAUGCGACAAGAGGAAGGAUAUUUUAAUGAUAAUAUCAAUCAUGGUUUGGAUGGGGACAGUUAUGUCUUUUCAAGUUCGCUUAUGCAACCAAAUGGUGAAGAAUCUUUCAAUAAAAUUCUGAGAUACAUGUUCAGCAGUAUCGAUUCCUCUUGUUUCCACUUCAUUCCAAAGGCAACACACGCAAGGAUAAUGAUCAUUUGACUUUGGUUGUCGUGGAUAUAAAGCUCAAAACGUGGAAACAUUACAACUCCUACAAGCCAAGGGCAGUGGAAAACCAGAAACGCACAGAUCCAUAUCUGUAUAUCGCGGAAACAAUGGUAAAAGCUGUUGAAGCAGUCACCAGAGAAUGUAAAAUCAAGAAAAUCCCGCUAGAUGCAACACUUGAAGAAGUUGAGGAUUCACCUCAGCAAGAGUACGACAUUGAGGAUUGCGGGAUUUUUGUACUAUAUAUCAUCAGACAGUAUUUCCGUCAACAGCCAGUGGACAAGUUGGAUGCAGAAAAAAAAUGUUAAGAAUUUCAUAAAUGAACUAGUUCACUUAUUCCUGAACCACAAAAACACUAUUAAUCACAGAGUUAGGCGGUCAAAACCAGUGUGAUAGGCUUAAUGUAAUGCAAGUUUAAAUGAACUUUUAAGUAUUUUUAGUAUAAAACUCUAUGGUUGUAGGUUUAAAUGUACUGUUAAGUAUUUGUAGUAUGAUACUCUAUGGUCGUGGUCUUAAU